rnacentral:lncRNA from 1 species
GUGUGUUUUUUUUUAAUUUCAAAAUCUUAUAUUUAAAGAAUAUUUAAUAAACAAUAACCAAGUAACUUCUUAUCAAACUAAAUUAAUUAUUUUCCCCCUAUGUUUCUUUUUAUAAAACAAGUAUUUGUUUAACAAAGCAAUUACAGACAUAGUGAUAUCAGAAUUUCUUGGAAAUUGUAUGGCCAUAUUAGUCUUGAUAUAUUUGGGAUGAACACAAAUAAAUAUCACAUUACCUCCAUGUUGUACACAACUAAUUUAUAAAAUAAAACUUCCUCAAUAAUAACUAAGUAUUAUUAUUAUUUGAGAUCA